CAGUCGUACCUGCGGACAAUCAGCUUUUGAGUGUGAUUAUGUGGAUUGUGAGGAGUUUAACACCUUCAUGCCUGCAUAUUCGUGCACUCGUGGGUGUACUUGCCCGUA
rnacentral:rRNA from 1 species